UGUUGUAACCUCUCCCUGCGCACUCCUCUCUCCCCGUCACUAAAAGACCUUCUGGUCUCUUGCCCUGUCUCCUUUGUUUUUGUAGAAGAGACAUGUCUCUAAAAUAGACAUUCAUCGAUGAAGAUACUGGGCCACCAGGAGGCUGAGCAACUGCUCCCGCUAGCAGAGCCGCCAGUCACAGUCAGCUGCAUUUGGACUGAGAUCGCGCCCCCUGGUCCCGGCAGGAUGGGACCCGGCAUCGGGCCUAAGAAAGCGCUGAAGCCGGCAUCUCUGAUGCGAUCAAUGUCUUCCUCAGAUACACACCGAGGGGCCGGCAUGAAGUGGGCACCGGGCACUGAGUCCAGCAGUCAACGGCCACCAAGGUCUGGCUGCUUGAGAAUCGCAGCUGCCAAACAAGCAAGCCGGGGGAGAGCAACCAUCACGGAGGGGACCGCGAGGUGGAGGGUCAUAGGCAAAGGACAGCAUAGCUGGAAGAAAGAAAGAGCACGGAUCCUCGAUGGCUUUCUUAACUGGCCACCCUGUGGUCCAAGGGUCCUCACCAGCUGGAAAUAGCAUAGUACAACCGGUCGGUGCGCUGUUCAGUCCACCCUGCUACACACAGCCAAGCUUCCCCAACGUUUCCAGGGGCAGUGAAUGGUAUCUGUGACCUAGAAGACCCUGGUCCUUCCACAUGAGGAAGUCUGAAAUGACCCUUGCUCAUCUAGUGAACUCGGCAGAGCUGAGACAAAUCUCCAUGAUGUGCAGAAGCACACAGUGAAAGGGAUCACGCAGGCACUGGAUUUGUGAAAUCAGCAGAGAGGGGGAUCCUGUGACUGACUUCAUCAGCCGCCCGAGUCCAAACUAGACCUGGACCUUAAUGCACCCAGAGAAAGAGCCGCUCGGAGUGGAGCAUCCGUGCCUGGCUUCUGAGUGCUUCACUAGCUCUCAUCCUAUGAUGGGAAGGACCCUCUGGCCUCCCAGCAGUGACCCUGAUGUACAGCCUGGAACUCUUCUCUAGUGGCUGAAGAAAAGACACCGCACCAAAUUACCAAACGGGCCUUUGGUGGCGGAGGCCAGCUAGCUCACCGCGGAAUUCAUUCACCGAGGUCCAAACCUGUGUUGUUGAUAACCACCAGGGUGAGGGCGGAGUUUCGCUUCAUUACCAGUCCUGGACAGGCUCUUGUCCUGGCUGUACCUCAGUUUCUCUCAACGCUAAGAGCUGCAGUAAAGGCGCCAGGAGAGAAGCUGGUCUCAGAUCCACAGGUGGAAAAGCGCCCACAUCUGCCUGGCAAAUGGAGAUGAGAGAGGAGGAUGAAACUGUUCCCGUGUCCUCAGAUGCCUUCACUUUCUGGUUUUUAGCCUAAUUUAUAAGGAGCACAUUAAACAAGGGUAGAUGCCAAUCAUACCCCGCCUAUGGGAAUACCUCUGUCAUCCCAGCUACUCCAGAGGCUGAGGCAGGAGGAUGCCAAGGUUAGGGAGACUCUGUCUCAAAAUAAAAUUUUAGAAUGACUGGAGGUGUGGCUUAGUGGUAAAGAACCCCUGCGUUCAAUCCCCAGUACCACAAAAAGAAGAGAAAAAAUGAGAUCUAAUGCAAUUUCAAUUAAAAGAUAAUCUAAAAAAAGGAAAAGGCAACCUCCCUGUCCUACAGGGUCAAUUAAUCAAAGACCAGAAAGUGUUUCGUACACUGUCUAAAGGAUUCCCCAGGACCCACGUAUUCCUGCUGAGCUCUGAAAAGGGUGCGUGUUCAAAUGCAAUGGGUUUAUUGUUGUCGUUGAUCUUUAAUAUCUGAAGGUAGGACUUGAUCUUUUUAAUAGGACAUAUAUUUUAGAGGACAGAUGAUGAAGACUGUCAUUUUGGGUAUUUCCUAUUCCUUUACAGACCCCAAACCACAACAGUGAGCACAAAAGGAGUUAAUAACUCUAAGGGGAGAGAGACAGACAGACACACAAGGACAGAUGAGAGACAGAGGCAGAGAACUGAAUGUUCGCUUCUCUCUCGGCCCAGAAGUCUUGGUGAGCCUGCAGUCCACCUGGUUCCAGGCAGGAAGAGCCCUGCAUCGGCUUCCCAGCCCACCUGCCCUGGGAGCCUCUUGACGGUCAGUUCAGGGCAUCUCUGGCUGUCCAUGAGCUGUUUCUCCGGGGAUUUGGUUUAGCUGGCUCCUUUUAUUUGUUUUGGAGAUGACACUGUGCUGGAAACCUACCCAAGUGUCCACAUUAAAAACAGAAAGGGGCCCUCCCCUCCCCCGUCCCACGUCCCAGGCUUCCUGUGUCAAUGGCAAGAACUGAUUCUUGUCCUUUGUCUGUAUUUUCACACUCUCUUGUGUGCACACACACAAUACAUGCUUUCCUUAAAAUAACGCAGCGGUCCCCCGCCGACAACUGUGUCUCACUCCGCUCCAUGGCUUUAGGGUUGCGAGGGCAAACCUCCAGCUCAUCUCCCUCCUCCUGGCCUCUCUUGAAGACUCACUGGCUGGAAACACUGAUUUUCCCCUGGAGGAAGCGGUGCCCUCUCGCUAGAAACGGCCUCCCUGGGGCUGGAGGUUUAGCUCAGCGGCCUAAGCACCUGACUUGCAAGCAGGAAGUCGUGAGUUCGAUCCCCAGUACUGGUAAAAAGGAAAAAGACAAAAAAAAAAAAAAAAGAAA